CAGCAGCCACGGGAAUACGUAGGGUGCGAGCGUUAAUCGGAAUUACUGGGCGUAAAGCGUGCGCAGGCGGUUGUGUAAGACAGGUGUGAAAUCCCCGGGCUUAACCUGGGAACUGCGCUUGUGACUGCACAGCUAGAGUAUGGCAGAGGGGGGUGGAAUUCCACGUGUAGCAGUGAAAUGCGUAGAGAUGUGGAGGAACACCGAUGGCGAAGGCAGCCCCCUGGGCCAAUACUGACGCUCAUGCACGAAAGCGUGGGGAGCAAACAGGGUUAGAUACCCCCGUAGUCCCUGUCUCUUAUAA
rnacentral:rRNA from 1 species